GGAAAGCCAACCCUUCCUGACUCUCUCCUUCCUUCUAAGAGGCUAAGAGGACCCCACUUUCCGACCUGCAACGGACAACAAUCACGCCGUACCACAAAUUAAUAAAAAAAAAAAAUUCAUACAUGGUGGAGAAUGGAGAUGGAGUAUCAAAAAAGAAGAAGGCAGCAAUAGAGGCGAGAAAGAGAGAAGAAACCGCAGUUCAGUCAGCAACAAGUUGGGAAUCUGAAGGAAGGAAGAAGGAACAUCCAUUUUCUGCACUCAUAUUAUAUUAGGACUGCGACUGUGAUACGAAAAGGAGCCGCGGCUAGCCAGAGAGGGGCAGAGAGGUUUGAUAUAGUACUAACAGAAGAAUAGAAUCGGGAGUACUUGCUAGUGUUAUUUUAUCUUGAAAGCGGACUCUUCCUCGAGAACCCCAACUCCGCCGACUAGUUGUUGAGCGGGGUGUAGUCUAAGGAGAUUGAUAUAUCUCUGGUGCAGGUGAGGCAGUACUGCUGAUCAGAUUUCAUACCACCGGGUGGUCUCUCUGGUAUAAAUAAAGGUCGUGUGGUGAAUCAAGUUAAUGGUACUCCUGGGAAUUAGAGGCGGUAGGAAGGAGGAGGAGGAGGAGGGGAGCAAUAAUUACAAUAAUAGUAAGAGGAAGAAGAAUUCAAUGCGACUGUGGAAAUACGAGGUUGGAAGGACCCUGGGAGAAGGCAAUUUCGGAAAAGUCAAGUACGCCAGAAACCUGGAAUCCGGCCAAUCUUUUGCAAUUAAGAUCUUGGAGAAGCACAGGAUCUUUGACCUCAACAUCACCGAUCAGAUAAAGAGGGAAAUUGGGACCUUAAAGCUUCUCAGACAUCCCAACGUGGUCAGGUUACACGAGGUCUUAGCAAGCAAAUCCAAAAUUUACAUGGUCCUAGAAUUUGUGGACGGCGGCGAAUUGUUUGAUCGAAUAGCAUCCAAGGGGAAACUCUCCGAGGCUCAAGGCAGGAAGCUCUUCCAGCAGUUAAUAGAUGGCGUCAGUUACUGCCACAACAAAGGCGUUUUCCACAGAGAUCUCAAGGUAAAGGAUCUCUUGCUUUUACCGUUCCGUCAUUCAAGAAUCAAUAAUGUUUCGGUUCCAUCUUUUCACUUUUACGUUCUUGUCCUUCAUACUGAAAUGCAGCUGGAAAACGUGCUGGUUGACGCAAAAGGAAAUGUAAAGAUAACAGACUUCGGCCUCAGUGCCUUGCCCCAACAUUUUAGGGAUGAUGGAUUGCUCCAUACAACGUGCGGAAGUCCCAAUUAUGUUGCCCCUGAAAUUCUUUCUAACAGAGGUUACGAUGGUGCCACAUCAGACACUUGGUCAUGUGGUGUCAUAUUGUACGUAAUUCUCACAGGAUAUCUCCCAUUUGAUGACAGAAAUCUUGCAGUACUUUAUCAGAAGAUCUUCAAAGGUGAUGCUCAGAUACCCAAGUGGCUAUCACCUGGAGCCCAAAACCUAAUUAAGAGAAUACUUGAUCCAAAUCCUUGUACUCGGAUAUCAAUGGCAGACAUCAAAGUGGAUGAGUGGUUCAAGCAAGACUACUCUUCUGCGAUACCUUAUGAUGAUGAUGACGACAACAAACAAAAUGCAUUCAUAGAGGAUGCAGUUUUAUCAGUGCAUGAGGUGCCAUCGGAAGCAGAAAAAGAUCCAGAAUCAUCUCACCUCAUUAAUGCCUUUGAGCUGAUUGGAAUGUCUUCCUGUCUAGACCUUUCCGGUUUUUUGAGAAAGAAGAUGUCUCGGAUAGGAAGAUAAGAUUCGCUUCCACUCACUCUCUAAAAGAAUUGCUUGAGAAGAUUGAGCAGACAGUAACAGAAAUGGGAUUUCAAGUCCACAAGAAGAAUGGAAAGCUCAAAGCGAUACAAGAGCACAAGGGUGAUAAAGGCCCAGGUAGCGUCUCAAUAGCAGCAGAAGUCGUUGAAAUAAGCCCAUCUUUGCAUGUUGUUGAAUUACGGAAGUAUUAUGGGGAUCCUGCAGUCUAUAGACAGUUGUGCAAAAAGCUGUCUAAUGAUUUGGGCGCCUCGUCAAGUCAAGAGUGCUUAGCUGCUGAAUUGUGAGUACCCUUUGCUGCUUAGCUUAGAGAAUAGAGAUGCUAUAUGCUACGCCGAUGUAUACAUGCAUACAAGUAGAUUAUACAGUGGUACUAUUACCCUACCAAUGAUUCAUUAUAAGAUGUUUGCAGAUGAUUCUUUUAAAACUGUAUAGCGCUUCAGUAGAUCCAGUUCAUUUUAGUCUUUCAUGAUAAAUUAAUAGGUUUGUAAGCUUGGACGAUAAAUAAUUUUCCAAGAAAAUAUACGUACCUUCUAUGCCAU